rnacentral:tRNA from 1 species
CAGCUGUAGUUCAUCGGUAGAAUGCUAGCUUCCCAAGCUGGAGAGACGGGUUCGAUUCCCGCCAGCUG